rnacentral:rRNA from 1 species
GUAGGCGGAGGUUCCAGGUAAAUCCGGUACCUUAUUAACGCUGAGGUGUGAUGACGAGGCACUACGGUGCUGAAGUAACAAAUGCCCUGCUUCCAGGAAAAGCCUCUAAGCAUCAGGUAACACGAAAUCGUACCCCAAACCGACACAGGUGGUCAGGUAGAGAAUACCAAGGCGCUUGAGAGAACUCGGGUGAAGGAACUAGGCAAAAUGGUGCCGUAACUUCGGGAGAAGGCACGCUGAUAUGUAGGUGAAGUGGUUUACCCAUGGAGCUGAAAUCAGUCGAAGAUACCAGCUGGCUGCAACUGUUUAUUAAAAACACAGCACUGUGCAAACACGAAAGUGGACGUAUACGGUGUGACGCCUGCCCGGUGCCGGAAGGUUAAUUGAUGGGGUUAUCCGUAAGGAGAAGCUCUUGAUCGAAGCCCCGGUAAACGGCGGCCGUAACUAUAACGGUCCUAAGGUAGCGAAAUUCCUUGUCGGGUAAGUUCCGACCUGCACGAAUGGCGUAAUGAUGGCCAGGCUGUCUCCACCCGAGACUCAGUGAAAUUGAACUCGCUGUGAAGAUGCAGUGUACCCGCGGCAAGACGGAAAGACCCCGUGAACCUUUACUAUAGCUUGACACUGAACACUGGUCCUUGAUGUGUAGGAUAGGUGGGAGGCUUUGAAGUGUGGACGCCAGUCUGCAUGGAGCCAUCCUUGAAAUACCACCCUUUAAUGGCUGGUGUUCUAACGUAGACCCGUGAUCCGGGUUGCGGACAGUGUCUGGUGGGUAGUUUGACUGGGGCGGUCUCCUCCUAAAGAGUAACGGAGGAGCACGAAGGUUAGCUAAUCCUGGUCGGACAUCAGGAGGUUAGUGCAAAGGCAUAAGCUAGCUUGACUGCGAGAGUGACGGCUCGAGCAGGUGCGAAAGCAGGUCUUAGUGAUCCGGUGGUUCUGAAUGGAAGGGCCAUCGCUCAACGGAUAAAAGGUACUCCGGGGAUAACAGGCUGAUACCGCCCAAGAGUUCAUAUCGACGGCGGUGUUUGGCACCUCGAUGUCGGCUCAUCACAUCCUGGGGCUGAAGUAGGUCCCAAGGGUAUGGCUGUUCGCCAUUUAAAGUGGUACGCGAGCUGGGUUUAGAACGUCGUGAGACAGUUCGGUCCCUAUCUGCCGUGGGCGCUGGAGAAUUGAGGGGGGCUGCUCCUAGUACGAGAGGACCGGAGUGGACGCAUCACUGGUGUUCGGGUUGUCAUGCCAAUGGCAUUGCCCGGUAGCUAAAUGCGGAAGAGAUAAGUGCUGAAAGCAUCUAAGCACGAAACUUGCCCCGAGAUGAGUUCUCCCUGACUCCUUGAGAGUCCUGAAGGAACGUUGAAGACGACGACGUUGAUAGGUCGGGUGUGUAAGUGUAGCGAUACAUUGAGCUAACCGAUACUAAUGAACCGUGAGGCUUAACCUU